AGUGAACGCUGGCGGUAGGCCUAACACAUGCAAGUCGAACGGCAGCACAGUAAGAGCUUGCUCUUACGGGUGGCGAGUGGCGGACGGGUGAGGAAUACAUCGGAAUCUACUUUUUCGUGGGGGAUAACGUAGGGAAACGUACGCUAAUACCGCAUACGACCUACGGGUGAAAGCAGGGGAUCUUCGGACCUUGCGCGAUUGAAUGAGCCGAUGUCGGAUUAGCUAGUUGGCGGGGUAAAGGCCCACCAAGGCGACGAUCCGUAGCUGGUCUGAGAGGAUGAUCAGCCACACUGGAACUGAGACACGGUCCAGACUCCUACGGGAGGCAGCAGUGGGGAAUAUUGGACAAUGGGCGCAAGCCUGAUCCAGCCAUACCGCGUGGGUGAAGAAGGCCUUCGGGUUGUAAAGCCCUUUUGUCGGGAAAGAAAAGCAGCAGGUUAAUACCCCGCUGUUCUGACGGAACCCAAAGAAUAAGCACCGGCUAACUUCGUG
rnacentral:rRNA from 1 species